rnacentral:rRNA from 1 species
ACGUCAAGUCAUCAUGGUUCUUACGGGUCGGGCUACAAACGUACUACAAUGGCGAUAACAGAGUGUUGCAAAGCCGCAAGGCCAAGCCAAUCAUCAAAAAUCGCCCCAGUUCAGAUUGCCCUCUGCAACUCGAGGACAUGAAGUUGGAAUCGCUAGUAAUCGCGGAUCAGAAUGCCGCGGUGAAUACGUUCCCGGGUCUU